rnacentral:rRNA from 1 species
AACGAUAGCUAAUACCGCAUAACAAUGGAUGACACAUGUCAUUUAUUUGAAAGGGGCAAUUGCUCCACUACAAGAUGGACCUGCGUUGUAUUAGCUAGUAGGUGAGGUAAUGGCUCACCUAGGCGACGAUACAUAGCCGACCUGAGAGGGUGAUCGGCCACACUGGGACUGAGACACGGCCCAGACUCCUACGGGAGGCAGCAGUAGGGAAUCUUCGGCAAUGGGGGCAACCCUGACCGAGCAACGCCGCGUGAGUGAAGAAGGUUUUCGGAUCGUAAAGCUCUGUUGUAAGUCAAGAACGGGUGUGAGAGUGGAAAGUUCACACUGUGACGGUAGCUUACCAGAAAGGGACGGCUAACUACGUGCCAGCAGCCGCGGUAAUACGUAGGUCCCGAGCGUUGUCCGGAUUUAUUGGGCGUAAAGCGAGCGCAGGCGGUUUGAUAAGUCUGAAGUUAAAGGCUGUGGCUCAACCAUAGUUCGCUUUGGAAACUGUCAAACUUGAGUGCAGAAGGGGAGAGUGGAAUUCCAUGUGUAGCGGUGAAAUGCGUAGAUAUAUGGAGGAACACCGGUGGCGAAAGCGGCUCUCUGGUCUGUAACUGACGCUGAGGCUCGAAAGCGUGGGGAGCGAACAGGAUUAGAUACCCUGGUAGUCCACGCCGUAAACGAUGAGUGCUAGGUGUUGGAUCCUUUCCGGGAUUCAGUGCCGCAGCUAACGCAUUAAGCACUCCGCCUGGGGAGUACGACCGCAAGGUUGAAACUCAAAGGAAUUGACGGGGGCCCGCACAAGCGGUGGAGCAUGUGGUUUAAUUCGAAGCAACGCGAAGAACCUUACCAGGUCUUGACAUCCCGAUGCUAUUUCUAGAGAUAGAAAGUUACUUCGGUACAUCGGUGACAGGUGGUGCAUGGUUGUCGUCAGCUCGUGUCGUGAGAUGUUGGGUUAAGUCCCGCAACGAGCGCAACCCCUAUUGUUAGUUGCCAUCAUUCAGUUGGGCACUCUAGCGAGACUGCCGGUAAUAAACCGGAGGAAGGUGGGGAUGACGUCAAAUCAUCAUGCCCCUUAUGACCUGGGCUACACACGUGCUACAAUGGUUGGUACAACGAGUUGCGAGUCGGUGACGGCGAGCUAAUCUCUUAAAGCCAAUCUCAGUUCGGAUUGUAGGCUGCAACUCGCCUACAUGAAGUCGGAAUCGCUAGUAAUCGCGGAUC